ACGAACGCUGGCGGCUGCUUAACACAUGCAAGUCGAACGGAGUGGCGAACGGGUGAGUAACGCGUGAGAAACCUCCCUAUGACAGUGGGAUAGCCUCGGGAAACCGGGAUUAAUACCGCAUAGUCAUAGAUGGGCUCGCGUCUGAUUAGCUAGUUGUGGAGAUAACAGCCCACCAAGGCGACGAUCAGUAGCCGGUCUGAGAGGAUGAACGGCCACAUUGGAACUGAGACACAGUCCAAAAUCCUACGCGAGGCAGCAGUGGGGAAUAUUGCACAAGGGGGUAACCCCUGAUGCAGCGACGCCGCGUGAACGAAGAAGGUAUUCGUAUCGUAAAGUUCUGUCCUAUGGGAAUCAGUACCAGAGAAGAAAGCUCCGGCUAAAUACGUGCCAGCAGCCGCGGUAAUAC
rnacentral:rRNA from 1 species